rnacentral:rRNA from 1 species
CACGUAGGGCGCGAGCGUUGUCCGGAAUUAUUGGGCGUAAAGGGCUCGUAGGCGGUCUGUCGCGUCGGGAGUGAAAUUUUACAGCUUAACUGUGAACGUGCUUUCGAUACGGGCAGACUUGAGGUAUUCAGGGGAGAACGGAAUUCCUGGUGUAGCGGUGGAAUGCGCAGAUAUCAGGAGGAACACCGAUGGCGAAGGCAGAUCUCUGGGCCGUUACUGACGCUGAGGAGCGAAAGCGUGGGGAGCGAACAGG